rnacentral:rRNA from 1 species
GACGAACGCGGCGGCGUGCUUAACACAUGCAAGUCGAACGAAGAGCGAUGGAAGCUUGCUUCUAUCAAUCUUAGUGGCGAACGGGUGAGUAACGCGUAAUCAACCUGCCCUUCAGAGGGGGACAACAGUUGGAAACGACUGCUAAUACCGCAUACGAUCUAAUCUCGGCAUCGAGGAUAGAUGAAAGGUGGCCUCUAUGUAUAAGCUAUCACUGAAGGAGGGGAUUGCGUCUGAUUAGCUAGUUGGAGGGGUAACGGCCCACCAAGGCGAUGAUCAGUAGCCGGUCUGAGAGGAUGAACGGCCACAUUGGGACUGAGACACGGCCCAGACUCCUACGGGAGGCAGCAGUGGGGAAUCUUCCGCAAUGGACGAAAGUCUGACGGAGCAACGCCGCGUGAGUGAUGACGGCCUUCGGGUUGUAAAGCUCUGUUAAUCGGGACGAAAGGCCUUCUUGCGAAUAGUGAGAAGAUGACGUACCGAA